rnacentral:misc_RNA from 1 species
AAGGAGUCUAACAAACCUGCGAGUAUUUGGGUGGUAAACCUUAGUGCGCAAUGAAAGUGAAAGUUGGGGUUCCUGCCGUGGGAAGUACCGACGCCCGGACCAGACCUUCUGUGACGGAUCUGAGGUAGAGCAUGUUUGUUGGGACCCGAAAGAUGGUGAACCAUGCCUGAAAAGGGUGAAGCCAGGGGAAACUCUGGUGGAGGCUCAUAGCGAUUCUGACGUGCAAAUCGGUCGUCAAAUUUGGGUAUAGGGGCGAAAGACUAAUCAAACCAUCUAGUAGCUGGUUCCUGC